UAACCAAGAAAUAGCGAGACUGAAGCA
rnacentral:piRNA from 1 species